rnacentral:misc_RNA from 1 species
AAAGUCGUAACAAGGUUUCCGUAGGUGAACCUGCGGAAGGAUCAUCAGUGAAAAAACCUUUUUUUCAUUGAAAAAAAACAAAACACACCCUUUAUGUGCAACCCCCCCAGUGGGGAGGUGGUUGGGAGGUCUCGUCCCUUUUUUUUGAAAAGGGCCGAGCUUCCCUCGGCCUCUCCCCAUUUUUGUUUUACCCCCCAGACAACCCUCUUUUUACCCCUUUUUCUCAACAUACCCCCAAAACAAUAACAAAAAGACAACUUUUAACAACGGAUCUCUUGGCUCUC